rnacentral:rRNA from 1 species
UACGUAGGGUGCGAGCGUUGUCCGGAAUUAUUGGGCGUAAAGAGCUUGUAGGCGGUUUGUCGCGUCUGCUGUGAAAAUCCGGGGCUCAACCCCGGACUUGCAGUGGGUACGGGCAGACUAGAGUGUGGUAGGGGAGACUGGAAUUCCUGGUGUAGCGGUGAAAUGCGCAGAUAUCAGGAGGAACACCUGCGGCGAAGGCGGGUUGCUGGGCUGACACUGACGCUGAGGCGCGAAAGCCAGGGGAGCGAACGGG